ensembl:lncRNA
ACGAAGGCCAAACCCAAAAGGCCCUAUCAAGGCUGACUGCUGUAAAACUACACUGUUCUCCUGGCUCCUGGUACAUUCUCUGUCUGUAUUGUAAAAGGUUGUUCCAGAGGCAGUGUGUGCAGCUCAUCUCAGCGUUUGAUGGUGCCAAUGUAACGUGAACAGCUUUACAAGGACAUUUUGUGUACCUCUCAGAAGCUGACUAAAAGGAAUGGCUCAUACAUGAUGACGUGGGCUGGGGCUGUAGUCAGGUCAAGGUGGAAAACCAGUGCUUGCGAAGCUCGUGGCUGGCUCAGUGGUUAAGAGCACUGACUGCUCUUCUGAAGGUCCUGAGUUCAAUUCCCAGCAACCACAUGGUGGCUCACAACCAUCUGUGAUGAGAUCUGAUGCCCUCUUCUGGUGUGUCUGAAGAUAGCUACCGUGUAGUCAUGUAAAUGAAAUAAAUACAUCUUAAAAAAUAAACAAACAAGCAAAGCUUUACACUUCUCAGC